rnacentral:misc_RNA from 1 species
CCACAAACAAAGGUUUGCCGCAAGGCAAAUUCUUUUAUAAACCAAAACCCGUGAGCGUUCUUUUUUUGGUGGUGCCGAGGCUGGGUGAUUCGUUUCGCCCAAUAACGUACGAGGCACUGCCAUUUCCAAAAAGACCCAUUUAACUUGAAACUUAAAUCCAUUUUAUCCAAACAAAAA